UACGUAGGUGGCAAGCGUUGUCCGGAUUUACUGGGUGUAAAGGGCGUGUAGCCGGGAAGGCAAGUCAGAUGUGAAAUCUGGAGGCUCAACCUCCAAACUGCAUUUGAAACUGCUUUUCUUGAGUAUCGGAGAGGUAAUCGGAAUUCCUUGUGUAGCGGUGAAAUGCGUAGAUAUAAGGAAGAACACCAGUGGCGAAGGCGGAUUACUGGACGACAACUGACGUUGAUGCGCGAAAGCGUGGGGUAGCGAACCGG
rnacentral:rRNA from 1 species